rnacentral:rRNA from 1 species
AUUGACCGCUGACGGCAGGCCUAACACAUGCAAGUCGGGCGAGCGGCGUACGGGUGAGUAAUGUAUGGGGCUCUGCCUGAUGGCGGGGGAUAACUACUGGAAACGGUAGCUAAUACCGCAUACCCUCAGCUGAACCCAUAUGGGAUUAGCUUGUAGGUGAGGUAACGGCUCACCUAGGCGACGAUCCCUAGCUGGUCUGAGAGGAUGAUCAGCCACACUGGGACGUAGACACGGCCCAGACUCCUACGGGAGGCAGCAGUGGGGAAUAUUGCACAAUGGGCGCAAGCCUGAUGCAGCCAGGCCACGUGUAUGAAGAAGGCCUUGGGGUUGUAAAGUACUUUCAGUAGGGAGGCGUUACCCGCAGACGAAGCACCGGCUAACUCCGUGCCAGCAGCCGCGGUAAUAC